AGUGGCAGACGGGUGAGUAACGCGUGGGAAUUUACCCAGCUCUACGGAACAACUCAGGGAAACUUGAGCUAAUACCGUAUACGCCCUUUGGGGGAAAGAUUUAUCGGAGUUGGAUGAGCCCGCGUUUGAUUAGCUAGUUGGUGGGGUAAAGGCCUACCAAGGCGACGAUCAAUAGCUGGUCUGAGAGGAUGAUCAGCCACACUGGGACUGAGACACGGCCCAGACUCCUACGGGAGGCAGCAGUGGGGAAUAUUGGACAAUGGGCGCAAGCCUGAUCCAGCCAUGCCGCGUGAGUGAUGAAGGCCCUAGGGUUGUAAAGCUCUUUCAACGGUGAAGAUAAUGACGGUAACCGUAGAAGAAGCCCCGGCUAACUUCGUGCCAGCAGCCGCGGUAAUACGAAGGGGGCUAGCGU
rnacentral:rRNA from 1 species